UACGAAGGGGGCUAGCGUUGCUCGGAAUCACUGGGCGUAAAGCGCACGUAGGCGGAUCUUUAAGUCAGGGGUGAAAUCCUGGAGCUCAACUCCAGAACUGCCUUUGAUACUGGGGAUCUCGAGUCCGGAAGAGGUGAGUGGAACUCCGAGUGUAGAGGUGAAAUCCGUAGAUAUUGGGAAGAACACCGGUGGCGAAGGCGGCUCACUGGCCAGUUUCUGACGCUGAGGAGCGAAAGCGUGGGGAGCGAACAGG
rnacentral:rRNA from 1 species